GUAGCUUUCUUUAUUUAUAGUUAUAUUAUUUUAGGGAAGCUGCAAACCUUAAGUUAGCCUUAACAUUGUAAGUCAAACAAAAAUUGUGAUGCUACUGUGUUUAUAGCCAUUUGUGGAACAUUAUGUCAGCUGUCUUGUAAUGUUGUCAUUAUUGGUGUUGCAUUUGUUGGUCCAGUAUUAGGCAUAACCCCUGAUUCAUUGAAAAUGGGCUAGUAGCUUCAAUUAAUUGUCCAGCUGCCUUUUUGGCUUCUUGAGAGUUACUUAUGGGUGAUUAAUUGAUAAAUUGGCGGUGUUGCAUGCGUGCAUAUAUAUAUCGGUGAUUUAUGCAAGCGUACACAUGUUUUAUAAAUUGGCAUUAGGAUUGUGAUGAUUAAUUUUGGCUGCUGUUGCUUCUUGUUCUUCU
rnacentral:misc_RNA from 1 species